UUCAUGAACUCGGUCAGGUCCGAAAGG
rnacentral:SRP_RNA from 16 species